GAUGAAGAACGCAGCGAAAUGCGAUACUUGGUGUGAAUUGCAGAAUCCCGUGAACCAUCGAGUCUUUGAACGCAAGUUGCGCCCGAAGCCAUUAGGCCGAGGGCACGCCUGCCUGGGCGUCACACGUCGUUGCCCCCCCAUCUACUCCUUCGGGAUUGCGGGGGGCGGAUGAUGGCCUCCCGUGCGCCUCGCCGCGCGGUUGGCAUAAAUGCCAAGUCCUCGGCGACGCACGCAACGACAAUCGGUGGUUGCGAAACCUCGGUUGCCCGUCGUGUGCGGUCGUCGCGCAUCGAGGGCUCGAAAAAAUUGCCGGGUUCCGGCUCGGCUUUCAACGCGACCCCAGGUCAGGCGGGGUUACCCGCUGAAUUUAAGCAUAUCAAUAAGCGGAGGA
rnacentral:misc_RNA from 1 species